rnacentral:rRNA from 1 species
UACGGAGGGUGCGAGCGUUGUCCGGAAUCAUUGGGCGUAAAGGGCGCGUAGGUGGCCCGGUCAGUUCGUGGUGAAAGCGCGGGGCUCAACCCUGCGUCGGCCAUGAAUACUGCCGCGGCUGGAGCACUGUAGAGGCAGGCGGAAUUCCGGGUGUAGCGGUGGAAUGCGUAGAGAUCCGGAAGAACACCGGUGGCGAAGGCGGCCUGCUGGGCAGUUGCUGACACUGAGGCGCGACAGCGUGGGGAGCGAACGGG